AUGAACUAAACAUGACUUGUACUGGGAAACAACAGUUUACUACCAGACAUUAUAGCAAACUACCACUGAUGUCAGACCAUCAAACUACCACUUUGAUUGUGCCCAGACAUUGAGGCCAAACGGCCCCGUUUGUCCCCAAACAGGAAGGCGGGGCAUAGGGAGGUGAUGGAGGACCUGCCUGGUGAAGGACGUCAGGGUGGGGCGAGUGACACCCGACUCCAAGGGGAUAUCCACUGAGGAGAGAGCUGAAGGAGCCAUGCAUCUGGAAGGUGCAGUUGAAAUGCUGUGUCCAGUCUGGGACAGACAGACCUGAGCUGCAUCAAACCUGUAUCUCUGACCAGCUGGAGGCCUUUAGUGAUCAACAACCGCCACUCAUCGCUGGCCUGUGGAUUCAUCUCCUCCACACUCACACAACGUGACCUUGGCCUGUGGAUUCAUCUCCUCCACACUCACACAACAGGACUUUGGCCUGUGGAUUCAUCUCCUCCACACUCACGCAACGUGACCUUCUCACCAUCUGUUGCACGUUUGGAUGCACCUAGCGUGUUCCAUCGAGGGUUCCUUCCUCCCCACGGUGGGAGGGUUCCUUGUCCUUCAAGGCGUCGGGGUUCAGUGUUAGGGACAGAGUUAGGGACAGAUGGCUGCGCUGGAUUCACGAUACACGCUUUGUGAUCAAAAUGGGUUCGGACAUCGGACAAAACGCUUCCCAAAAUGUUUCAAUGUGCAAACGAUUUUAUAAAAUGUCUACU